rnacentral:rRNA from 1 species
GACGAACGCUGGCGGCGUGCUUAACACAUGCAAGUCGAACGGAAAGGCCCUGCUUGCAGGGUACUCGAGUGGCGAACGGGUGAGUAACACGUGGGUGAUCUGCCCUGCUCUUCGGGAUAAGCCUGGUAAACUGGGUCUAAUACCGGCUAGGAGCCAUUUUUAGUGUGAUGGUUGGAAAGUUUUUUCGGUGCAGGAUGAGCUCGCGGCCUAUCAGCUUGUUGGUGGAGUAAUGGCCUACCAAGGCGGCGACGGGUAGCCGGCCUGCGAGGGUGGACGGCCACAUUGGGACUGAGAGACGGCCCAGACACCGACGGGAGGCAGCAGUGGGGAAGAUUGCACAAUGGGCGCAAGCCUGAUGCAGCGACGCCGCGGGGGGGAUGACGGCCUUCGGGUUGUAAACUCCUUUCGCAAGGGACGAAGCAUUUUGUGACGGUACCUAGAUAAGAAGCACCGGCUAACUACGUG